AAAAAAGUCGAAAAAAAGAAUCUAUUUUUUAUAUUAUUGUUCAAUUUACUACCAACAAUCUUUAUUCUAUUGAGUCACACUAGUUUUUUUCAUCAAUUAAAGUCCGGGUUUAUUCCAUCAAAAAUUCUUCAAGUCCUUUUGUUUCACCAUCUUUUGUUCACAUUCGAUUAGGAAUUCCACGAGUUUAAAAUUUUUCGAGUUCACUUAGUUCUUUUAAGAGCUUGGAGGGAAGCACUGAGUGGUAAAAGACAGAGUGAUGAGAUUAAUAGAAGGAAAAUGUCAUAUUGUGUGAUUUCCAAGUGAAUAUCGGUGAGGCAGAUAAAAUUCUAGUUUUAGAAUGUCUGAACGAGAAGAUUCGAAUUCAAGCCGACGCGGCAACAUAAUAAUGCAAUGGAUGAUUUAAUACAAUGAUUUGAAAGUGCGUUUGGAGAUGUAAGGGAUAGGUUGGAUCAACAGGAGGCUUGGAGGAUAAAACAGGAAACUUGGAUGACUAGGUUAGAUACAUCAGUAGCUAAUCUUAGUAGGGGACAACCAGUAGAGGUGUCGAAUGCUAGGGGACCGGGUAGACGAGAUCCUAGGAGGGUAAGGCAUGAGGAAUCUGAUAGUGAUCUCAAUGAGUAUGAGGCCAAUGACGUUGAUUUGGGGAGGAUGAGAAAUAGAGGUGAUAAGUUUGAAAGACGGGGUAGGAAUAAUAAUGGAGAUGAGAUGGAUGAAAACAUGGGUAAUAUCAAAAUAACCAUUCGACAAUUUAAAGGGAAAAGUCACCCGAAGGCGUACCUAGAGUGGGAAAGAAAGGUUGAAUUGAUUUUCGAAUGUUAUAACUACUCGGAAGAGAAGAAGGUGAAGUUGGCAAUUCUAGAGUUCAUUGACUAUGCAAUAACUUGGUGAGAUCAAGUGGUUACUUCAUAAGGUAGGUGUGGGAGAAAACCGGUUAGUACUUGGGAGGAGUUGAAGACAUUGAUGAGAAAACGGUUCGUUCCUAGUCACUAUUAUAGGGAGAUCCAUCAGAAAUUGCAAAGCUUGUAUCAAGGGUCGAAAAGCGUGGAGGAUUACCACAAGGAGAUGGAGAUACUUAUGAUUAGGGAAAAUGUGGUUGACGAUCGGGAAGCUAUCAUGGCACGGUUCUUAAAUAGGUUAAAUAGGGGAAUUGCUAAUGUAGUGGAGUUGCAACAUUAUGUAGAGUUAGAAGAUAUGUUGCAUGUAGCUAUGAAGGUGCAGAGAAAAUUGAAGUGGAUUGGAACAGGUAGGCAACUGUGAAAUACUUCGAAUUCAUCUUGGAAAUCGAGGU
rnacentral:lncRNA from 1 species